rnacentral:rRNA from 1 species
UACAGAGAUGGCUAGCGUUGUUCGGAUUGAUUGGGUGUAAAGGGUGCGUAGGCGGUUUGGAAAGUCGGAUGUGUAAUCCUAUGGCUUAACCAUAGAAUUGCAUUCGAAACUUCUAGACUAGAGUGCGAGAGAGGUAAAGGGAAUUCCCGGUGUAAGAGUGAAAUCUGUAGAGAUCGGGAGGAACACCAGUAGCGAAGGCGCUUUACUGGCUCGUAACUGACGCUGAGUGCACGAAAGCGUGGGGAGCAAACGGG